UAUACAAAAGACGUAUAUAUAUCAAUCAACUGAAGACAAGAAGAAAUUAAGAAAGAGUCUACAUUAACAUCCAUUCAUCUACAUUUUUUACAUUGGCUAGCCUGCCAGUCUUCUAUUCAAAGUUUUGUUCCCACUUCAAGGGGGGAGAGAGAAGAAUCGAGUUACAAAGCUAUUUUGGAACUGGGAAAACAAACUUGAAGAGAAAAAAAGAAUCUAGAUUAGCAUAGAAGAACGGUGGUUUGUAAGAAAAAGAAAGUUUUCAAAUCAAAGACUGUACAAGACUAUUUUCUACAACUGAGACAAAAAGCACAAGAUACAACGUGAAAUCUAGAAGCAAGCACGUGGCAGACAUUGGC